AAGGCUUCGAAAUGGCUUUUCUAGCCGGUCUCUUGCGGCACCGAUAGUCUGAUUCAGCUCGGACUGAGUUCGUCGGGGUGAAUGCAUUCGAUUCCGCUGCUUCUCAGUGGUUUGUGCACCGUUCGAAUAUGUUGAUCAUCAAUUGAUUAGGCUGGCCUUGUGGGCGAACUUGAAUUCAAACUUGACGUUGAAUGAGUGAUUAGUGUGUGCUUCGGCACUUGAAAGGAAUGAGUUGGAAGAGCUACGGUUAUCACCUCAGAAUGCUUCGGAGUUAAUUCCGGGUGGACUAAAUGCUUUUGACUUGAAACUGAUACCCCAAAUCAAGGAACAGAAAGGUGUUCAUGUCAUUUUUGCAUUGCUAAUGAUGCCCCUGGUCUCCUCACAAGAAAGAAAGAAAGAAGAAUGCACAAAGAU